CAGCCCCCUGAGUGGUAAGGAUGAUUAUUUGGCUUAAAGCGUCCGUAGCCGGCUCAGUAAGUCUCUUGUUAAAUCCAACGAUUCAAUCGUAGGUGUGCAAGAGAUACUGCUAUGCUAGAAGACGGGAGAGGUCGACGGUAUUCCAAGGGUAGGGGUGAAAUCCUAUAAUCCUUGGAGGACCACCAGUGGCGAAGGCGGUCGACUAGAACGUGCUUGACGGUGAUGGACGAAAGCUGGGGGAGCGAACCGGAUUAGAGACCCGAGUAGUCC
rnacentral:rRNA from 1 species